UAUUUUUUUAAUUUUUGGUAAUUAUAAAUAUCUGCUUUAAAUACACUAACAAAAUAGCUUGGACAUUUUUCAUGACUCGAUAUAGUAACAGCUUCCCAAAAAUUGAGAUACUUUGAAAAUUUCAGGAUCUACAAACCUGAGCCACAACGAAAACAAAAGAUCAACAGAAGGUUUGGUAACCGAUGCUACACAGUAGCUGAUAGAAGAUGAGCAGCUCCAGUCCUCCACGAGUUACCAGCGCCGCGAAACGCGUUACUGACACGUCAGCAAGCUCCGGCUGAAAACAAAAGAUCUGAAUACACAACAGCCAGAUUAACAAUUCGACUUCAUCGUCUUUAGACAGCGUUGAAUGAUUGGGAGAUUGACUGCAAUGCACUUAUAUUUGAUUAAAAGCUUCACAACAGUGUAAAUUUCAGAGAUCUGUAAACGCUGCACAUGAUUCAGCAGAAGUAAACACACAUAUCCAAUCAGCAAAGGUUCAUGUACUCUAAUGUAAAGAAAAUAGAAAAUACCCUCACAUGUAUGGAGUUACAUUUGUGCCACAAGUCAGUGCAGACCUGAUUUUUGCCAUGUGACAAUCAAUCUACUUCUUCCUAUGCUUAGAGUUGAAGCACAAAUGACUCUCUGUAAGUCAGAGCAGCAUCUGCUGUGCUGAUUAACUACGCGUAUGUGGGUGCCAGUUUCCUCCUAAGGGUGAGGGAAGGAUACUCUUCUUUGUUGGUACAAGUUGUUGCAAGCAUCGUUUAGCUGUACACACAAUAGGUGUCGAGAGAAAGCCACCUGCUCCCGGUUCCCUUUGUUCUUAUUAAUAUUACAUGUUGUACACCUAUGAUGCAAAGCUUUCAGGGAAUUACAUCUUUAAAGAACAAAACAGAACAACAUUAAGCGCACACACACACACACACACACACACACACACACACACACACACACACACACACACACACACACACACACACACACACACACACACACACACACGCACACAUCAGUGUUUGUAUUGAUUUUGCUUCCUGUUGGAGAAUUUUCAAGGGAAAAAAGUUCCCCCUUCAGAAACUUGUCCACUAUCUAGAUUUCCAUCUGUUCAGUUACUUUUUGUGAUUCUGCAUUAAUUCUGCACAUAACUCGUUUGUGAUGAGUACACAUCCUUCAGGAUACCUUUGAAAAGCCCACACAGACGUGCAGAAAGACCUCACUGCAGCGAGUAGGUGGUGGAGGAUGGAUUGUCGUGCUUGCUCCCAUUUUAGUGAACUGCUAAUUCUUUCAAAGAGACACCGAGGUCUUCCUCUCGGGUGUCGCUAAUCCCCUAAACAUCUGAUCACGUCAGAAAGUUGCAGCUGCAGUUUGUAGCAAUGCUAUGGAUGCGGUCUCCUUCCUUAUAGAUGUUGAUGCUGUGUAAUUUUGUUUUGUUUCCUUCCUUCACCUGGAUGCUGAGGUCAUGCCAGCCGCUGAUUUUCCUUCGUGAGCCAUCGUGGAGGGUUUGGGUUGGGCCACUUUCAGUCCACUUUAAAGCUGCAUUGAAUCAUCUGAAAAACUGUUUUCCUUGAUGAGAUCAGUUUAAAAUUCAACGCUGGUUGUGGAAACGGGGAACUUUUAACACCUGUUUAAGGAAGGUGUAGGUUGUGUUGCUAAUCUGUCUUUAAAGCACUUUUUGGUGGUUUAAUGACCUGUUUGUUUUGAAUCAUAGUGAAUGGCUCUCGGUCUUCUGGCAUUAGUUGUUUCAAUGUUCAGGACAAACCUUCUGUAAACCAGCUUUGAGCUUUUAGGCUACGUGAAACUUUGACAGCAAACAAUAAAGGUGAUUAUCCACACUGACUGUGGGGAAGAUUCCUAAAAACUACAGUCGCUCCUGUCUAAAAAACAGCUGUUUAAGUGUAACCUAUGAUAUUUUACAUGUUGCUUUUUAAGAUACUGUAUAUCCAGCCUACAAGUGUCAGUCUGGUCCAUAUUUCCCAGCCUCGGCCAACAGCAUUCAAAGUUGAGAAAAACAGAGCUGUGGUGAGAAGUUUGCAUCCACUCAUCACAGCCAUGGAUGUCAGGCUAAUUUGGGGUGGGAUGUUUUUUUACAGUGGGGUGGCUGUGUGGUAAACUUCUUUGAUGCAAAGCAUGAAAUGGGUGCACAAGUUUGAAUUUAUUUUGGAUUCCUAACCAGCUGCCUCUGACAUGAGAGAGACAGUUUCGUCUUCUUUCAGACGUCUGCAAAGUGGUGACACAUCUGAAUAAUUUAUACAAUUGUUUGAACUGAUGAUCUUGAAAUCUACAGAUGUUUAGAAAUGGCUCCAAGAGACUCUCCCAAGUUA
ensembl:lncRNA